CUCAUUAUGAGUAUAGGUACCGAGAAAGUGCCGCUUGAAAUUGCUCGAUGAUAACAACUUUAUAAAUAAAACAAGAUAAAGUAUAGGAGGUUCUCAGCUAAAAUUUAUUUAAAAAAAUAAUUUUCUCAACACAGUUAUAAAAAUUGUCAAAAACAUCCUCUAACGAAAUUAGUUUUUUUUUUGUGAUUUUUAUCUUGUUUAUUGAAUUUAUAUGGGAACCACUGCCUAUAGAGCAGUAACGCAGAGUUUGUAAUCAGUAUUUUGUUGUCAAUACCCGGCCCUACUCAGCUAGCCCUAACAGCAAAUUGAACGGUGUUUAUUGCACACGGAUCCACACAAGUUGUCACAACUGGCGUUGGAAUGGGAUAUGCACACUAUUUUUCGUAGGUAGGUAUGCCAACUCAUUCAAGAAGCACGUUAUUUCAUUCAGAAUAUAAAUGAUAGAUACCUCUCUCAGAGGUAUAUCAGUUUUUGAGUUUACUUGUUUCAAUUAACCCUCCCAUCAGUACAAUAUCAACAGUAUAAUUAAAAAUGCCGUGCAAAACUAAAUGCUGCAACUGCCAGUGUACCGAUCGGUGUGAAUCGGGUAAGCAGUGUGACCAGAGCUGCAAUUGCAAAUGCGACUGUACGGCUCAAACACCAGAGGAGUGUUGUCAGCGAGGAUGCUGCAAGAAGUGAAUGGAGCAAGUUGUGUUAUGCUUUCUCUCAAUCGGUCAUACUAGAUUUAAGAUAAUGUAAUGUUAAUAAAAUUAUUUAAAAAUUA